rnacentral:rRNA from 1 species
CCUACGGGUGGCAGCAGUAGGGAAUAUUGCUCAAUGGGGGAAACCCUGAAGCAGCAACGCCGCGUGGAGGAUGAAGGUUUUCGGAUUGUAAACUCCUUUUGUUAGAGAAGAUAAUGACGGUAUCUAACGAAUAAGCACCGGCUAACUACGUGCCAGCAGCCGUGGUAAUACGGCGGGUGCAAGCGUUACUCGGAAUCACUGGGCGUAAAGAGCGCGUAGGCGGGAUAGCAAGUCAGGUGUGAAAACCUAUGGCUUAACCAUAGAACUGCAUUUGAAACUGUUAUUCUUGAGUAUGGGAGAGGUAGGUGGAAUGCGUGGUGUAGGGGUAAAAUCCGUAGAGAUCAAGAGGAAUACUCAUUGCGAAGGCGACCUACUAGAACAUAACUGACGCUGAUGCGCGAAAGCGUGGGGAGCAAACAGGAUUAGAUACCCCAGUAGUC